GACAGAGGGUGCGAACGUUGUUCGGAAUUACUGGGCGUAAAGGGCGCGUAGGCGGCACUGUUAGUCAGGCGUGAAAGUCCUGGGCUCAACCUGGGAACUGCGCUUGAUACGGCAGAGCUAGAGGAUGGAAGAGGGUCGCGGAAUUCCCAGUGUAGAGGUGAAAUUCGUAGAUAUUGGGAAGAACACCGGUGGCGAAGGCGGCGACCUGGUCCAUUACUGACGCUGAGGCGCGACAGCGUGGGGAGCAAACAGG
rnacentral:rRNA from 1 species